GACGAACGCUGGCGGCGUGCUUAACACAUGCAAGUCGAACGGAAAGGCCCUGCUUUUGUGGGGUGCUCGAGUGGCGAACGGGUGAGUAACACGUGAGUAACCUGCCCUUGACUUUGGGAUAACUUCAGGAAACUGGGGCUAAUACCGGAUAGGAGCUCCUGCUGCAUGGUGGGGGUUGGAAAGUUUCGGCGGUUGGGGAUGGACGGGCGGCUUAUCAGCUUGUUGGUGGGGUAGUGGCUUACCAAGGCUGUGACGGGUAGCCGGCCUGGGAGGGUGACCGGCGACAUUGGUACUGAGAGACGGACCAGACUCCUACGGGAGGCAGCAGGGGGGAAUAUGGCACAAUGGGCGGAAGCCUGAUGCAGCAACGCCGCGUGCGGGAUGACGGCCUUCGGGUUGUAAACCGCUUUCGCCUGUGACGAAGCGUGAGUGACGGUAAUGGGUAAAGAAGCACCGGCUAACUACGUG
rnacentral:rRNA from 1 species